GAUGAACGCUGGCGGCGUGCCUAAUACAUGCAAGUCGAGCGAACAGACGAGAAGCUUGCUUCUCUGAUGUUAGCGGCGGACGGGUGAGUAACACGUGGAUAACCUACCUAUAAGACUGGGAUAACUUCGGGAAACCGUAGCUAAUACCGGAUAAUAUUUUGAACCGCAUGGUUCAAAAGUGAAAGACGGUCUUGCUGUCACUUAUAGAUGGAUCCGCGCUGCAUUAGCUAGUUGGUAAGGUAACGGCUUACCAAGGCAACGAUGCAUAGCCGACCUGAGAGGGUGAUCGGCCACACUGGAACUGAGACACGGUCCAGACUCCUACGGGAGGCAGCAGUAGGGAAUCUUCCGCAAUGGGCGAAAGCUUGACGGAGCAACGCCGCGUGAGUGAUGAAGGUCUUCGGAUCGUAAAACUCUGUUAUUAGGGAAGAACAAAUGUGUAAGUAACUGUGCACAUCUUGACGGUACCUAAUCAGAAAGCCACGGCUAACUACGUG
rnacentral:rRNA from 1 species